UAAUUGAAGAGUUUGAUCAUGGCUCAGAUUGAACGCUGGCGGCAGGCCUAACACAUGCAAGUCGAGCGGUAACAGAAAGUAGCUUGCUACUUUGCUGACGAGCGGCGGACGGGUGAGUAAUGCUUGGGAACAUGCCUUGAGGUGGGGGACAACAGUUGGAAACGACUGCUAAUACCGCAUAAUGUCUACGGACCAAAGGGGGCUUCGGCUCUCGCCUUUAGAUUGGCCCAAGUGGGAUUAGCUAGUUGGUGAGGUAAUGGCUCACCAAGGCGACGAUCCCUAGCUGGUUUGAGAGGAUGAUCAGCCACACUGGGACUGAGACACGGCCCAGACUCCUACGGGAGGCAGCAGUGGGGAAUAUUGCACAAUGGGCGCAAGCCUGAUGCAGCCAUGCCGCGUGUGUGAAGAAGGCCUUCGGGUUGUAAAGCACUUUCAGUCAGGAGGAAAGCGUGGUGGUUAAUACCCAUCAUGUGUGACGUUACUGACAGAAGAAGCACCGGCUAACUCCGUGCCAGCAGCCGCGGUAAUACGGAGGGUGCGAG
rnacentral:rRNA from 1 species